rnacentral:rRNA from 1 species
UACGGAGGGGGCUAGCGUUGUUCGGAAUUACUGGGCGUAAAGCGCACGUAGGCGGCUUUGUAAGUUAGAGGUGAAAGCCUGGGGCUCAACUCCAGAACUGCCUUUAAGACUGCAUCGCUAGAAUUGUGGAGAGGUAAGUGGAAUUCCGAGUGUAGAGGUGAAAUUCGUAGAUAUUCGGAAGAACACCAGUGGCGAAGGCGGCUCUCUGGGACGGUACUGACGCUGAGACGCGAAAGCGUGGGGAGCGAACAGG